AUUUGAAGGACCCUUGGAAUUGGGACAGCACUUGGCGCGUCGCUGUGACGCAAUCGGCGUCGACGCAUCCUUCGAAUGCAGCCUUCGAAGGAUGCGUCCUAGGAAUUGGGACACAGCCACAGACAGACAAACAGACAAAGAGCAACAGACAGAGAGAAAGAGAGACAGAGCAUAAUGAAUCAUGUGGUGCCUGAGAGGAGAGAAAGGACAUCGCCAUGGCAACCAAAAGACAACGCAAACAGUCAACAGACGUCUGUGAAUCGAAUCAGUCCUGCCUUCAUGUUGUGUUCAUUUUUUGACCCCCACCCCCUCGGACCACUGAUAAGAAAUAAGGCGCCGAAAUUGAAUUAAGUUCAAUUUAAUUCAAUUCAAAAGUGUGAUUUAUACCAACCUCAGAGGGUGUUGACAGUGGGGUGGGGGCUGGGGAGAGGUUCUGGAAAGUACUGG
ensembl:lncRNA